rnacentral:rRNA from 1 species
UACGGAGGGUGCAAACGUUGCUCGGAAUCAUUGGGCGUAAAGCGCACGUAGGCGGCCGAAUAAGUCGGGUGUGAAAGCCCUGGGCUCAACCCAGGAAGUGCACACGAUACUGCUCGGCUUGAAUAUGGAAGAGGGUUGCGGAAUUCCCGGUGUAGAGGUGAAAUUCGUAGAUAUCGGGAGGAACACCAAUUGCGAAGGCAGCUCGCUGGGACGUUACUGACGCUGAGACGCGAAAGCGUGGGGAGCAAACAGGG